rnacentral:rRNA from 2 species
GAAUGCUGACAUAAGUAACGAUAAAGCGGGUGAAAAGCCCGCUCGCCGGAAGACCAAGGGUUCCUGUCCAACGUUAAUCGGGGCAGGGUGAGUCGACCCCUAAGGCGAGGCCGAAAGGCGUAGUCGAUGGGAAACGGGUUAAUAUUCCCGUACUUGGUGUUACUGCGAAGGGGGGACGGAGAAGGCUAUGUUGGCCGGGCGACGGUUGUCCCGGUUUAAGCGUGUAGGUGUGUGUUCCAGGUAAAUCCGGUUCACUUUAACACUGAGGCGUGACGACGAGGCACUACGGUGCUGAAGCAACAAAUGCCCUGCUUCCAGGAAAAGCCUCUAAGCAUCAGGUAACAUCAAAUCGUACCCCAAACCGACACAGGUGGUCAGGUAGAGAAUACCAAGGCGCUUGAGAGAACUCGGGUGAAGGAACUAGGCAAAAUGGUGCCGUAACUUCGGGAGAAGGCACGCUGACACGUAGGUGAAGUGAUUUACUCAUGGAGCUGAAGUCAGUCGAAGAUACCAGCUGGCUGCAACUGUUUAUUAAAAACACAGCACUGUGCAAACACGAAAGUGGACGUAUACGGUGUGACGCCUGCCCGGUGCCGGAAGGUUAAUUGAUGGGGUCAGCGCAAGCGAAGCUCCUGAUCGAAGCCCCGGUAAACGGCGGCCGUAACUAUAACGGUCCUAAGGUAGCGAAAUUCCUUGUCGGGUAAGUUCCGACCUGCACGAAUGGCGUAAUGAUGGCCAGGCUGUCUCCACCCGAGACUCAGUGAAAUUGAACUCGCUGUGAAGAUGCAGUGUACCCGCGGCAAGACGGAAAGACCCCGUGAACCUUUACUAUAGCUUGACACUGAACAUUGAGCCUUGAUGUGUAGGAUAGGUGGGAGGCUUUGAAGUGUGGACGCCAGUCUGCAUGGAGCCGACCUUGAAAUACCACCCUUUAAUGUUUGAUGUUCUAACGUGGACCCGUAAUCCGGGUUGCGGACAGUGUCUGGUGGGUAGUUUGACUGGGGCGGUCUCCUCCUAAAGAGUAACGGAGGAGCACGAAGGUUGGCUAAUCCUGGUCGGACAUCAGGAGGUUAGUGCAAUGGCAUAAGCCAGCUUGACUGCGAGCGUGACGGCGCGAGCAGGUGCGAAAGCAGGUCAUAGUGAUCCGGUGGUUCUGAAUGGAAGGGCCAUCGCUCAACGGAUAAAAGGUACUCCGGGGAUAACAGGCUGAUACCGCCCAAGAGUUCAUAUCGACGGCGGUGUUUGGCACCUCGAUGUCGGCUCAUCACAUCCUGGGGCUGAAGUAGGUCCCAAGGGUAUGGCUGUUCGCCAUUUAAAGUGGUACGCGAGCUGGGUUUAGAACGUCGUGAGACAGUUCGGUCCCUAUCUGCCGUGGGCGCUGGAGAACUGAGGGGGGCUGCUCCUAGUACGAGAGGACCGGAGUGGACGCAUCACUGGUGUUCGGGUUGUCAUGCCAAUGGCACUGCCCGGUAGCUAAAUGCGGAAGAGAUAAGUGCUGAAAGCAUCUAAGCACGAAACUUGCCCCGAGAUGAGUUCUCCCUGAGACUUAGAGUCUCCUGAAGGAACGUUGAAGACGACGACGUUGAUAGGCCGGGUGUGUAAGCGCAGCGAUGCGUUGAGCUAACCGGUACUAAUGAACCGUGAGGCUUAACCUUACAACGCCGAAG